rnacentral:rRNA from 1 species
AUGAAAUGUUUGAGUUGGAACUACCAGGGGCUUGGGAACCCCGAGGCAGUUCGAGAGCUUCGGAAAUUAACGAAGCAAGAAGGGCCUGCUUUGCUCUUUGUUUCAGAGACGAAGAUCAGAGCUAAGAGAGUGGAGAUCCUGCAACACAGUUUAGGGUUUGCGGGGUGCUUUGCAGUUGAUAGUGCGGGUUUAAGUGGUGGAAUUGGCCUGUUUUGGUCAAGGGAUGUACAAGUUGAGUUACAGAGUUACAGUGCUGGACAUAUUGAUGUCAUUGUCCGGGCAGCUGAUUUAUCUACACUGGAGUGGAGGUUUACGGGGUUUUACGGAGCCCCAAGGUCUGAAGAUCGCCACCACGGCUGGAGAUGUUUGAGACUGUUGCAUGCAGUACCACACCAUGCGUGGCUGUGUCUUGGGGAUUUUAAGGAGACUAUGUAUGGCACAGAACACUUUAGCAGGGCUGUGCAAUCAGAGACGCAAAUGUUAGCUUUUCGAGAAGCAUUGGAAGAUUGUUCCUUGCAGGACCUAGGGUUCUCAGGGGUAUCGUUCACAUGGGAUAACAAACAAGUGGGUCAAUGA